CACGCCCUAAACGAUGCGAACUGGAUGUUGGGUGCAACUUGGCACCCAGUAUCGAAGCUAACGCGUUAAGUUCGCCGCCUGGGGAGUACGGUCGCAAGACUGAAACUCAAAGGAAUUGACGGGGGCCCGCACAAGCGGUGGAGUAUGUGGUUUAAUUCGAUGCAACGCGAAGAACCUUACCUGGUCUUGACAUCCACGGAACUUUCCAGAGAUGGAUUGGUGCCUUCGGGAACCGUGAGACAGGUGC
rnacentral:rRNA from 2 species